rnacentral:rRNA from 1 species
GCCAAGCGGGUGCGGGGGGCGCGGGAGAUACGGGGGGUCGUGGGGUUAAUCGGAAUGACUGGGGGUAAAGCGGGCGCGGGCGGUUUGUUAAGCGAGAUGUGAAAGCCCUGGGCUCAACCUAGGAAUAGCAUUUCGAACUGGCGAACUAGAGUCUUGUAGAGGGGGGUAGAAUUCCAGGUGUAGCGGUGAAAUGCGUAGAGAUCUGGAGGAAUACCGGUGGCGAAGGCGGCCCCCUGGACAAAGACUGACGCUCAUGCACGAAAGCGUGGGGAGCAAACAGGAUUAGAUACCCUGGUAGUC